CCCAGUUCUACAGCCAGAGGUUGGGCGCUCGGGCCGAGCCGGCCCAAUGGCCCAGACUUGAGAAGGCUUCGGAGCCCGCCAUUCUCUCGGGUUGUUCCCCUGAGUCCUGCGGAAGGAAACCGCAACGGCAACCAAUCCUUCCCAUCGAAGCGCCGCAGCAAGUGGCCUCACCUGGUUUGGCUGCGCCUUGUCCAGGAACAAGGAAGAGAUAUGGAAACAUAGUCACCAGACUCUUUGCUGUUGGGAAAGGCCAAGAAGUCACUGGAUAAACCUGCCACACUAAGCAGAAUCCCUCCAGAAACAUUCUUGAUGGACAACCCUCACCUCUGCUUAAACACUUGAGUAUUGGAGAGCUCACUACAUCACAUCUGUUUUGCAUGUUUCAAGACUCAACAAAACAAGAAAGAUAUGCAUGGUGGUAACAAAGUCACAUGGAAUCCAUGAUCCAUAUGAGAGAAACAUGGAGAGGAUCUUCUAAUUACUUGUUGGUAAAGUAGAAAGUUAGAGUAAACUAUACUAGCUAAACUGCUUUCUCAAGUUUCCAUUUUAGGCAUUUCUACUGUUUGCCCACUGCCUAGUAGGCUGCUGGAGUUCACUAUAGGAAAAGUAAAUAUUGUCAUUUCAAAUAAAG